UUUUUCAAAAAGAGAAUUGCAGUUUACAAACUUUGGAAUGUUAGCUAUAUCUUAAUAUUUUCAAUUAAUUUUGUUUAUUUAGAAACUGAAGAUUGACUUUUAUUUUAGAGAUAAAACUAAAAGACAAUCAAUGAUGACAAAAAAUAAAUUAAUAUAUAUUAAAAUAUAUCGAAUAUAAAAGGAGAGCUCUAAAUGACCUCCAAAAGCCUCGUUACGCGUUAUAAUAAACGUAUUAAUAAUAACAAAAACAAGAUUGAGAGAGACUGCUCGCAAACAAAAGGCAAAUUCUUAGGUAUAAUUCGUAAAAAUUGUAAACAAAUGUGAGAAAUAAGAAUUGCUUGAAUAUGUUUAUUUAUUUGAUAUGUUGAACGAAUAAUGGUAGUGAAUUAUGUAGAGAUAUAACUCUUUUGCUUUGCUGUUUUGUGAUAGCAAAUGCUAUUGAUUUCUUAUCGAUAUUGUGCUAACAUGUCAAUGAUUAGAUAGUAUGGUUGUAUAAUAUACAACACUUUCCUUUUACGCUAUAUUACGAGCAAUGCAGUGGCAAAAAUCAUAAAAGUAAGGAUUGCUUGGAGAGACCACGUAAAGUUCUUGCAAGAUAUGCGAAUUCUUUAGUCGUUCACGAUGAACAUAUUGUGCAAGAUGAAGCAGUAAAUUAUGAUGAGAAAAGAGAUCGUUGGAGUAGUUAUGAUCCCGCCAAUGAUCGCGAAAUUAUAGAAGAAUAUGAGAAGGUGGAAGAAGCUAAACGGCAAUUAAAAGCCGAAAAAUUAAAGAAUGAUCCUGAUGCGGAAAUAUCUGAUGAUGAUGGGAAUGAGGAUAAAUAUAAAUAUGUUGACGAAGUGGACAUGCCAGGAACUAAAGUGGAUUCAUAACAACUUAUUACAGUACGCAACUUACGUAUACGUGAAGAUAUCGCCAAGUACCUCCGUAACUUGGAUCCUAAUUCGGCCUAUUAUGACCCCAAAACCAGAUCCAUGCGGGACAAUCCAAAUCCACAAGUACCAGCAGAAGAGUCAGAGUUUGACGGUGAAAAUUUUG